AAACCAAAACAAGACCCCCCUGAACGUUUUAUUCUUUAAAGACACAACCUAAAAAAAUUCGACGGCCACAUUCCAGCUGCAGACCCUAACGCCAUCUCCCCCAUCAAAACCGCCACCUUUCUCCAGCAUCACCUCCUCACCACCAAAUUCAACUGCCACACGACAACCCUUCAGCACCCUUUGUCUUCUUGACACCUUAAAAACAACCUCUAUUAUCAACACAUGAGCUCCGAAAAAAACAACCACCAUAGCCGUCAUCACACUCGUCCCUCUCUAGUUCCAGCCAUAACCCAAAACCCAGCGACAUCGCCGCCGCCAAACACGCAUACUCACAGUCACACACACGAAUAGAUUUCUGAAACAUGGAGUUUAAUUGAAGUUUGGAGCCAUUUUUGAGUUUGAGUCGUGUGGAGGUUGUCGUUCGAGUUCUGCAUUUGAGAGGGUUCCGAUUCGUUGUUCGUUGUUUGUCGCUAUUUUUUUAAAGCUUUGCAUAUCUGGGCAGAGGCUAAUUAAAUUGUUCAUUCAAGAUCCCGGAGCAACAACUUUUGGACCGUAGCAUUGGGCGGCUGCCCUCAGUCCAGUUUGAGACCCGAGGUAGUUAUACAGGCGUCCGCAGGCCCGACGUUCUCUUCUAUCUUUAUAUGUAUUCUGUUUUCAUUUACUUCAGAGACAAAUUGUACUUUUUUUCCAGACCUUUGUAUGGAGUAUUCGUAGUUGGUCUGUGAUAUUGUGACACCGGAUUCCGCGUAAAGAUGUAUGUUGGUAUUGUCGUACUGGUUUGGCUAAUUAUCAAAAUGGCGAGAACAUGUGCUUCCUUAUCCACCGAUCAACAGACCGAGCCCCCAACAACAACUCCCACAAGGGGUAGAGGCCGAGGCCGUACUAGGGACCGAGGUAGGGGCAGAUCUCAUCCCAGAGCAACAGCACCAGCGAUAGAGCCUUAGGUUGACUUUGAUGAUAAGGUUCCAGCCCAGGCCAUUCGGGUGGGCCCAGCUCAGGUCCCAGA